rnacentral:rRNA from 1 species
UGGGGAAUAUUGCGCAAUGGGGGGAACCCUGACGCAGCCAUGCCGCGUGAAUGAAGAAGGCCUUCGGGUUGUAAAGUUCUUUCGGUGAUGAGGAAGGUGCUUAGGUUAAUACCCUAAGCAAUUGACGUUAGUCACAGCAGAAGCACCGGCUGACUCCGUGCCAGCAGCCGCGGUAAUACGGAGGGUGCGAGCGUUAAUCGGAAUAACUGGGCGUAAAGGGCACGCAGGCGGAUUUUUAAGUGAGGUGUGAAAGCCCCGGGCUUAACCUGGGAAUUGCAUUUCAGACUGGGAAUCUAGAGUACUUUAGGGAGGGGUAGAAUUCCACGUGUAGCGGUGAAAUGCGUAGAGAUGUGGAGGAAUACCGAAGGCGAAGGCAGCCCCUUGGGAAUGUACUGACGCUCAUGUGCGAAAGCGUGGGGAGCAAACAGG